rnacentral:rRNA from 1 species
GACGAACGCUGGCGGCGUGCUUAACACAUGCAAGUGGAGCGACGAACCAGGCUUCGGCCUGGGGCAGAGCCGCGAACGGGUGAGUAACACGUGGGUAACCCACCCCGAUGACCGGGACAACCCGAGGAAACUCGAGCUAAUACCGGAUGAGCUCCUCUCUCAUGAGGGAGAGGAGGAAAGAUAGCUUCGGCCUUCGCAUCGGGGACGGGGCCCGGCGGCGCAUUAGCUUGUUGGNGGGGUAAAGGACCUACCAAGGCUACGAUGCGUAGCUGGUCUGAGAGGACGAUCAGCCACACUGGGACUGAGACACGGCCCACGACUCCUACGGGAGGCAGCAGUGGGGAAUCUUGCGCAAUGCGCGAAAGCGUGACGCAGCAACGCCGCGGUGGGGGAAGGAAGGCCGUUCGG